UGGGGAAUCUUGCACAAUGGGCGAAAGCCUGAUGCAGCGACGCCGCGUGCGGGAUGAAGGCCUUCGGGUUGUAAACCGCUUUCAGCAGGGACGAGGCCGCAAGGUGACGGUACCUGCAGAAGAAGCCCCGGCUAACUACGUGCCAGCAGCCGCGGUAAUACGUAGGGGGCAAGCGUUAUCCGGAUUCAUUGGGCGUAAAGCGCGCGUAGGCGGUAUGUUAGGUCAGGAGUUAAAUCUGGGGGCUCAACCCCUAUCCGCUCCUGAUACCGGCAGGCUUGAGUCUGGUAGGGGAAGGCGGAAUUCCAAGUGUAGCGGUGAAAUGCGCAGAUAUUUGGAAGAACACCGGUGGCGAAGGCGGCCUUCUGGGCCACGACUGACGCUGAGGCGCGAAAGCUAGGGGAGCGAACAGG
rnacentral:rRNA from 1 species